GUGUCUGUGGUGUAGUGGCUAUCACAUCUGCUUCACACGCAGAAGGUCCCAGGUUCGAAACCUGGCAGACACA
rnacentral:tRNA from 2 species